CAGCAAACUCGAGUUUCAUGAAAUCGAGUUUCAAAAAGUAGUAUUUUGCUACUUAUUUUGCAAACAGUGGUAUGUUGCUAAUAAUUUCUGCAAUAAGUGGUAAAUGGCCGAUUUUGCCUAGGGAAUGGGUACGUACUGUUUGGAGAAGAGAGAGGCCAGCAGAGAGAGAGAGAGAGAGAGAGGCUUGGUGAGAAAAUACAAAGAGUGAUCUCACUCUUUUCUUUGAACAAAUCUGAGAGAUGGAGAGUGGGGUGGGUUUUGUGUUUUUACUCAAAUCACACUUCAGGUGGCAUGACAAUAUCACUUGGUAAGAUCAGAGAUUUAUGGUGGUGACAAGUUUUCUAGCUGAACUUCAAGAUCAAACAUUCAAAAUUAAUCCCUUUAAGAAGAAAAGAUUGGAUCAACUUUAGUGUGCAAGGACAACUUGGAGAGAACCAUAGUGCUUUGCUGUUAUGGUGCUACAACAACAGAAAAGAAGAUAUUCAUUGUAGCUCUUAGAAAAGCUCUUGGGGAAGUUUUUGUUAUGUAAUUAUUCUAAUCAUGUAGAAAAAUUUGUUAAGAUUAAGAAAUUAGUAUUAUCUAUGCAUUUUUUAGUACAAAACCUUGUGGUUUUGUGUUAUCUAAUGAAAAAUAUAAUUUUUUUAGUAAAACAAAGGAGCAACACGUGCCUUGCACGUGCAGCCCUAACUAAUCAAUAUAUAAAAAAAGCCAAUAGGCUUAAUGAACAGUAUUUUGGUUUAUUGAGUCGCCUUUAUCCUUAA